rnacentral:snRNA from 1 species
CAUAUAUAUGGGUUUUUAAUUUUUCAUUAUAUUUGAUUUCAAAUUUCAUUGCAAUGUCAUCUUAAAUUUAUGUAUAAUUUUAAUUAGCAAUAAUCACACCUCAGAUAAACCUUAUUGGCUAUGAUACUGCCACUGCACAAAGCU